rnacentral:lncRNA from 1 species
ACAAAAAGCCAUAUCCUUGUACUUGAUAUUUUAAGGGAUUAGCAGAAAAUACUUUGUUUUGUGUAAAACAUAGUGCACGGGUAUCUUGAAGGAAAGGUUACAUUCACAGCACUUUAUUAAUAAGAGCUUAAUAUUUCUUCUGGCAUCUAGUUCUUCACUUAAGAAUAAGAGCACCAAGAAAACGCAGUGUUGGUUGUGUAUCCGACGUGAGUCAUAGCAGUUAUUUCCCUGCUCCUGCCUUACCCAAGGUGCCUACAUUUGUCUCUAACAGGACCAAUGGUCAGCCUCAGAGAGAAGCGCACUGGGAAAAGCCAACGUUUGAGCUCACCGAACAACCUGCAUGCCUGCUAUCUCCUGGCAGAGAGAGUUAAUGCAGCUGAGUGACAGCAUCUCCCUGCCCCUCUCAAACUGCUGCUCCAGUCCACACAAGAGCCCUGCGGGGUGCACCGUGAUGAUGCAGUUUUCCAAAGUGGUUGUGCUUGGAUUGCUACAUUUACAUUGCUUUGACUCCAAUCAGCUCAGCUGGAUACUGCAACGUGUGAACAUGCAACAGGUCACAAAACCGUAA